CCGUAACUAUAACGGUCCUAAGGUAGCGAAAUUCCUUGUCGGGUAAGUUCCGACCCGCACGAAAGGCGUAAUGAUUUGGGCACUGUCUCAACAGCCCGCCCGGCGAAAUUGUAGUACCGGUGAAGAUGCCGGUUACCCGCGACAAGACGGAAAGACCCCAUGGAGCUUUACUGUAGCCUAAUAUUGGGUUUCGAUGUUGCAUGCACAGGAUAGAUGGGACACUGGGAAGCACGGGCUUUGGCCUGUGUGGAGUGGCCGUUGGGAUACCAUCCUUGCGAUAUUGGAAUUCUAACCUGCGCCUUUGAAUCAAGGCGGGGGACAUUGUUAGGUGGGCAGUUUGACUGGGGCGGUCGCCUCCUAAAAAGUAACGGAGGCGUUCAAAGGUUCGCUCAGCUUGAACGGAAAUCAAGCAAGAGAGUGCAAACGCAGAAGCGAGCCUAACUGCGAGACUGACGGGUCGAGCAGUAACGAAAGUUGGAGUUAGUGAUCCGGUGGUAUGUGAGUGGAAAUGCCAUCGCUCAACGGAUAAAAGUUACCCUGGGGAUAACAGGCUGAUCUCCCCCAAGAGUCCACAUCGACGGGGAGGUUUGGCACCUCGAUGUCGGCUCAUCGCAUCCUGGGGCUGAAGUAGGUCCCAAGGGUUGGGCUGUUCGCCCAUUAAAGCGGUACGCGAGCUGGGUUCAGAACGUCGUGAGACAGUUCGGUCCCUAUCCGGCGUGGGCGUAGGAUAUUUGAGAGGAGCUGUCCUUAGUACGAGAGGACCGGGAUGGACGUACCUCUGGUGCACCAGUUGUCCUGCCAAGGGCAUAGCUGGGUAGCUAAGUACGGACGAGAUAAACGCUGAAAGCAUCUAAGCGUGAAGCCGACCCAAAGAUAAGAUAUCCCACUGAUUUGAUCAGGUAAGACCCCUUGAAGACUACAAGGUUGAUAGGCAUGACGUGUAAGUGGAGUGAUCCAUUCAGCGAGCAUGUACUAAUAGGUCGAGGGCUUGACCAC
rnacentral:rRNA from 1 species